AAAAAAAAAGAAAUGCACUUGCCGAGACUUAAGACUCUAACACCUGUAAAAUGCUCACAGAGAAUUGAGUAAAAAGAGUCAAAAGUGAAUAAACCCCCAGAGUUAUGAGUUAAGCACGAAAAGAAAAAAAGAGAAAAUCAAACAACAGGAUUGCCGAGUUCAAAACCAUUUGUUAUCCAUUUCUGUGUCUAUCCUACCGUACCCA
rnacentral:lncRNA from 1 species